AUUGAACGCUGGCGGCAGGCUUAACACAUGCAAGUCGAGCGGAGAGAGGUAGCUUGCUACCGAUCUUAGCGGCGGACGGGUGAGUAAUGCUUAGGAAUCUGCCUAUUAGUGGGGGACAACAUUUCGAAAGGAAUGCUAAUACCGCAUACGUCCUACGGGAGAAAGCAGGGGAUCUUCGGACCUUGCGCUAAUAGAUGAGCCUAAGUCGGAUUAGCUAGUUGGUGGGGUAAAGGCCUACCAAGGCGACGAUCUGUAGCGGGUCUGAGAGGAUGAUCGGCCACACUGGGAAUGAGACACGGCCCAGACUCCUGCGGGAGGCAGCAGUGGGGAAUAUUGGACAAUGGGCGCAAGCCUGCUCCAGCCAUGCCGCGUGUGUGAAGAAGGCCUUAUGGUUGUAGAGCACUUUAAGCGAGGAGGAGGCUACUGAAGUUAAUACCUUCAGGUAGUGGACGUUACUCGCAGAAUAAGCACCGGCUAACUCUGUGCCAGCCGCCGCCGUAAUAC
rnacentral:rRNA from 1 species